UCCUACGGGAGGCAGCAGUGGGGAAUAUUGCACAAUGGGCGAAAGCCUGAUGCAGCGACGCCGCGUGAGCGAAGAAGUAUUUCGGUAUGUAAAGCUCUAUCAGCAGGGAAGAUAAUGACGGUACCU
rnacentral:rRNA from 1 species